rnacentral:rRNA from 1 species
AAUAUAAGACCCCAUUAGCAGCUUCCGGGAAACCAAAGUUUUUCGUUUCCGGGGGAAGUAUGGUUGCAAAGCUGAAACUUAAAGGAAUUGACGGAAGGGCACCACCAGGAGUGGAGCCUGCGGCUUAAUUUGACUCAACACGGGAAAACUCACCCGGCCCGGACACCGUAAGGAUUGACAGAUUGAAAGCUCUUUCUUAAUUCGGUGGGUGGUGGUGCAUGGCCGUUCUUAGUUGGUGGAGCGAUUUGUCUGGUUAAUUCCGAUAACAAACGAGACUCUGGCCUAUUAAAUAGACGAUGAAUUAAAAAGGUUAUCGCACCUCCUAAAAGGAACAACGGGGCCUAACCCCCUGAAAAAAAACAAAAAAAAGUCUG